rnacentral:rRNA from 1 species
UACGUAGGCAGCGAGCGUUGUUCGGAAUUACUGGGCGUAAAGAGUGUGUAGGCGGCGCUCUAAGUUCGGUGUGAAAUCUCUCGGCUUAACUGGGAGGGUGCGCCGGAAACUGGAGUGCUCGAACGUGGGAGAGGAAAGCGGAAUUCCUGGUGUAGCGGUGAAAUGCGUAGAUAUCAGGAGGAACACCGGUGGUGUAGACGGCUUUCUGGACCGUAACUGACGCUGAGACACGAAAGCGUGGGUAGCAAACAGG